UGAAAAGAUCACAGAUAUUUUAGCCUGAAAAYCCCUAUACGGAUUGACCAUGCAAUGAAUGCUUCCAUCAGGAUGCACAGCCAACUAGUUAGCAUGCCCUUUCCGAAGGACCCUAUAAUGUGGAAUAGGUGGUUGGAGUCCGUUGGUCCCCAGUGGUGGCGAGUAUACCAGUAGCUGGACAGCUGGUUAUGUAUCUGGUUGUGUAUAUUUUGAUAAUCGUUAUCACUAUCAUCGCUAGCAUAGCUGACGUUAGCUAGCUGGCUAACGUUAGCCUACCUCAAUACAACUCAGAUUUGGCUUUGAAACACGAUAACAUUUCAAAAGACAGUAAAUAAUUAAUAGGAAAACCUUUUGUCAUGAUUGUGAUGUCGCCAGAUUGACUUUAGAUGCAGUAUAACUUUAGCCAGCUAACUAAGAUUGAAGGGACCACCGUAUUUUAGCAUGCUAACAUUAGCAUUGCUAGCUAUUUUUUGACUAACUUUGCUAGUAACAGUAAUGACAACAUUGCCAUCUCUCUCUAAAGUAAAUUUGACAACAUCAUAAUAUGGCAAAGUUGUUUCCUACAAAUUAUGUUCAUACUUUAGCAAUGUCAUCGUAUUUCCAUGCAUAUCUAAGUUAGUAUAAUUUAGAUGAAACAGUCACAUUAGCCUCCGAGGUGCAACCCAUGUCUAGGGGGAAAAAUACAUAUUGUGGUACUAGACAACUCAUUUCUGACUACAGCAGUGUACAAACUAGCAGCAACAAACUCAAACCAACCCAGGGAUAUAGCAAAACAUGUCACAGUUGGUUGCAUAGUGUGAUAGCGUCAUCGGCCUGAAUCUAAUACAAUCCUCAGCCAGUCAGUCUACAUCUGUAAAACAUAGAAUUACCUUCACAUCUGAAGUUAAAUAGAAAGGUGAAUGCAGGGAUCAGGUUGGUUACACCAAGCUAAUCAUAACCACCAUGUAAUCAGUGUGUUUGUGUUUGAUCGAUCAGUAUCUUUUGAUAAGGGGUCAGGUGCUGAUCUACGCUGCUAUGCCUACCAAUGGGACGCUGGCAAAGAACUCACCUCCAGCCUCACUUCUUGUCUGCUCACUAAUGGUCGUACAUGGGGAGAACAGAAUUAGAUACAUGAGAUGCUGGCACUUAACACAUGAGAUGGACUGGAGAUGCUUUUGCCAGACGGCAGCCUCCGUCGUUUGAUGGGGAGACCAUAAUUGUGUCCUCAACCACCGGAUGUAGUAUCUCCUGUGAUCACCCCAGGCCUCGGAAGACCUCUUCAACUACAACAGGAAGCAGUCAUACGAUCGGGUCACGACCCCUCUUAUAACACCAUGAGUCAAGCGGAGCCCACCCCGUGAGCCGGCAGGGGAAGGUUCCGGUCUCACCGAGGAGCAAAGUGCGGAAGGAUCGUCAGGGGAGGAGAGGGAGACCUAGUCAGCGCGUCAGAAUGAGGAAAAGAAAGGGGGAAAGAAAGAGAGAGAGAGGAGGAGGAGAGGAAACAUCUGUAAGAUAGCAGCCGUGUAACAUCAUUACACACAAGGCCCACCGGCUCACCUAACACGGCCACAGCUGGGUCUAAUACAGCCUCCAUCCACAGGGGAACUACUGUGUGACCCGCCAUAGGCAGAACUAUGUACACAUCCAGCCAGGAGGCACCAGGGAGGGGAUAAUGGUGCUGCCUAAGCCCACAAUCGAGACUCACUGGGGAAGUGUCUGUGCCAGAGCCCCAAGCUUCUGGCCUGAACACGGGGCUGACAUUAUGGGAGCUAUUCUAAUGCUUUUGUUUGACAGCACUUAAUUUUUCAAUUUUUUGGUUUUUGGACGAGAGGAGAGAGGCGUGACUGAGGACUGAGAGAGGAAGUGACUGAGGACUGAGAGAGGAAGUGACUGAGGACUGAGAGAGGAAGUGACU